UCAGGACGAACGCUGGCGGCGUGCUUAACACAUGCAAGUCGAACGGAAAGGCCCCUUCGGGGGUACUCGAGUGGCGAACGGGUGAGUAACACGUGGGUGAUCUGCCCCAAACUCUGGGAUAAGCCUGGGAAACUGGGUCUAAUACUGGAUAUGACCUUCCGCUUCAUGGUGGUUGGUGGAAAGCUUUUGCGGUUUGGGAUGGGCCCGCGGCCUAUCAGCUUGUUGGUGGGGUAAUGGCCUACCAAGGCGACGACGGGUAGCCGACCUGAGAGGGUGAUCGGCCACACUGGGACUGAGACACGGCCCAGACUCCUACGGGAGGCAGCAGUGGGGAAUAUUGCACAAUGGGCGCAAGCCUGAUGCAGCGACGCCGCGUGAGGGAUGACGGCCUUCGGGUUGUAAACCUCUUUCGGCAGGGACGAAGCGCAAGUGACGGUACCUGCAGAAGAAGCACCGGCCAACUACGUGCCAGCAGCCGCGGUAAUACGUAGGGUGCGAGCGUUGUCCGGAAUUACUGGGCGUAAAGAGCUCGUAGGCGGUUUGUCGCGUCGUCUGUGAAAUUCUGCAACUCAAUUGCAGGCGUGCAGGCGAUACGGGCAGACUUGAGUACUACAGGGGAGACUGGAAUUCCUGGUGUAGCGGUGAAAUGCGCAGAUAUCAGGAGGAACACCGGUGGCGAAGGCGGGUCUCUGGGUAGUAACUGACGCUGAGGAGCGAAAGCGUGGGGAGCGAACAGGAUUAGAUACCCUGGUAGUCCACGCCGUAAANNNNNNNNNNNAGGUGUGGGGCUCAUUUCACGAGUUCCGUGCCGUAGCUAACG
rnacentral:rRNA from 1 species